rnacentral:rRNA from 1 species
CACGUAGGGUCCGAGCGUUGUCCGGAGUUACUGGGCGUAAAGCGCGCGCAGGCGGUCGCGCACAUCGGCGGGGAAAGCCCCCCGCUCAACGGGGGAGGGUCCGUCGAGAUGGCGCGACUGGAGGCAGGGAGAGGGCGGUGGAAUUCCGGGUGUAGUGGUGAAAUGCGUAGAGAUCCGGAGGAACACCAGUGGCGAAGGCGGCCGCCUGGACCAGCACUGACACUGAAGCACGAAAGCGUGGGGAGCAAACAGG